rnacentral:rRNA from 1 species
GACGAAGGGGGCUAGCGUUGUUCGGAAUUACUGGGCGUAAAGCGUGUGUAGGUGGUUGUCAUAGUCAGGUGUGAAAGCCUUGGGCUCAACUCAAGAAAUGCACUUGAUACUGGGCAACUAGAGGACCGGAGAGGAUAGUGGAAUUCCCAGUGUAGUGGUGAAAUACGUAGAGAUUGGGAAGAACACCCGUGGCGAAGGCGGCUACUCUGGGAGCGAUACUGACGCUGAGACGCGAAAGCGUGGGGAGCGAACAGG